rnacentral:rRNA from 1 species
CCCCAGAGCCACAAGUGGCGAUCUCGAUUAUUGGGCCUAAAGGAUUCGUAGCCGAUUUGAUAACUCUUUUGUGAAAUUGUUGAACUCAAUUCAACAUCGCGCAAGAGAAACUGUCAAGUUAGAGACCGGGAAGAGACAGAAGUAUUCUAAGGGAAGCGGUAAAAUGCUAUAAUCCUUAGAAGACUACCUAUAGCGAAGGCAUCUGUCUAGAACGGGUCUGACGGUGAGGGAUGAAGGCUAGGAGAACGAUCCGGAUUAGAUACCCUUGUA